rnacentral:lncRNA from 1 species
AUAAUUUUAUCCUUUAUCAGCAUAUUGGUAUCUAUGGGGGUUCAUAAGGAUGUCCCCACAAUGCAUGAAUCAUUUCCUUUAACAUUACCAAUUAACGAGUCGUCCCCAUAUCAUGUCUGGCAUGAGUGUCAAACUACUAAAUCUUAAUACUCCGUCCAGUGUGAGGGCGAAAUGGGUCGUCCUCAUACCUCAUCCGGUAUGAGUGUCAAAUUACCAAGCUUUGAUGCCCCGUCCGAUAUGAGGCAACGUUUACAGUAGGGUUUCCUAUGUACCCGGUUCGUCCACCAUCUCCCAUAAUAUUUAGUAAGGUUGUCAUUUCAUCCAUUCACUUAAU